rnacentral:rRNA from 1 species
GAUGAACGCUGGCGGCGUGCCUAAUACAGGCAAGUCGAGCGAACGGACGAGAAGCUUGCUUUUCUGAUGUUAGCGGCGGACGGGUGAGUAACACGUGGAUAACCUACCUAUAAGACUGGGAUAACUUCGGGAAACCGUAGCUAAUACCGGAUAAUAUUUUGAACCGCAUGGUUCAAAAGUUAAAGACGUUCUUUCUGUCACUUAUGGAUGGAUCCGCGCUGCAUUAGCUAGUUGGUAAGGUAACGGCUUACCAAGGCAACGAUGCAUAGCCGACCUGAGAGGGUGAUCGGCCACACUGGAACUGAGACACGGUCCAGACUCCUACGGGAGGCAGCAGUAGGGAAUCUUCCGCAAUGGGCGAAAGCCUGACGGAGCAACGCCGCGUGAGUGAUGAAGGUCUUCGGAUCGUAAAACUCUGUUAUUAGGGAAGAACAUAUGUGUAAGUAAAUGUGCAUAUCUUGACGGUACCUAAUCAGAAAGCAACGGCUAACUACGUG